AUUGAACGCUGGCGGCAGGCCUAACACAUGCAAGUCGAACGGUAACAGGGAUCAGCUUGCUGAUUCGCUGACGAGUGGCGGACGGGUGAGUAAUGUCUGGGAAACUGCCUGAUGGAGGGGGAUAACUACUGGAAACGGUAGCUAAUACCUCAUAACGUCGCAAGCCCAAAGAGGGGGACCUUCGGGCCUCUUGCCAUCGGAUGUGCCCAGAUGGGAUUAGCUAGUAGGUGGGGUAACGGCUCACCUAGGCGACGAUCCCUAGCUGGUCUGAGAGGAUGACCAGCCACACUGGAACUGAGACACGGUCCAGACUCCUACGGGAGGCAGCAGUGGGGAAUAUUGCACAAUGGGCGCAAGCCUGAUGCAGCCAUGCCGCGUGUAUGAAGAAGGCCUUCGGGUUGUAAAGUACUUUCAGCGGGGAGGAAGGGAGUAAAGUUAAUACCUUUGCUCAUUGACGUUACCCGCAGAAGAAGCACCGGCUAACUCCGUG
rnacentral:rRNA from 1 species